rnacentral:rRNA from 1 species
GACGAACGCUGGCGGCGUGCCUAAUACAUGCAAGUAGGACGCAGUUGCGAACGGGUGAGUAAAGCGUAGGUAAAUGCCUAUUAGAGGGGGAUAACUAUUGGAAACGAUAGCUAAUACCGCCUCCUAGUAGAUGGACCUGCGUUGUAUUAGCUAGUAGGUAGGGUAAUGGCCUACCUAGGCAAUGAUAAAUAGCCGACCUGAGAGGGUGAUCCGCCACAAUGGGACCUAGACACGGCCCAGGCUCCUACGGGAGGCAGCAGUAGGGAGUCUUCGGCAAUGGGGGGAACCCUGACCCAGCAACGCCGCGUGAGUGAAGAAGGUUUUCGGAUCGUAAAGCUCUGUUGUUAAGGAAGCGGUACUUAACCAGAAAGGGACGGCUAACUACGUGCCAGCAGCCGCGGUAAUUC